rnacentral:lncRNA from 1 species
CACACUUCCAGAACUUUCAAAAUAAAAGCAUUUUAAAGUAGCAACAUGACCAUAAAUGAAUGUCACAACAAAGGAAAUAAGCUUUCUUAAUUACAUUCAAUACAUAUGUCAUAUAUUCUAUGCAUCUAUGACUGCACUGGUUGACUAACAUCUAGAACGCAGAAAAGUAAAUCAGCUACCUUGUUGCAUCCUUAGAGAAUCCUUUUCUCUUUUAAACAACAAGAAAAAACCAAAAAGCACACAGUGAGGCCUACCACCUUAUAUAGGCAUCUUAGCCUACAUGAUGAGAAGAAAAGGGGCAGGUGGGCAGGUGAGAUAAACCAAUUCAGCUGUGCCUCAUUGGUAUUCCUCAUUGAGAGCAGGUGGCAAAUUAUUACAAAUGAAAGGCUAUUAUAAAAAAGAAAAACAGGUACUGUUAGGGGCCUCUAAGGAGCUUAUGGAAUUCAGAGGUUUUAUGGGUAAUUGGUUCUGGACUGUGGUCCUUUGCUAAUUCAGAUGUGUUUGUUUCUGUGUUCUUUAGUCUUAGAGAUGCAGAUGUGAUAGAAGAUGGAAGAAGUUAUAUUGUGAUGGAACAGAACCUUGAAUACAGAGGAAGCUUAAGAAAAACAGUCCAAAUCCCUGCAGAGAAGGGAUUUCAGAUACAUUUUCAGAAGUAGUGUUUCUUGUGUUAUGUAGCAGAAUUUAUAUGUGUAAAUUUUCUAUGAAGUUAUUAUUUUCUUUGUAUUUUAUUACUCAGUUCCUAGUUACAUAGUCUUCAUCACAAAAAUCAUCAAAACUUUUCCUAGAUGUAGAUUUGUUGUUACUGAGAAUGGAGCCUUCUGUCCCUGGUUGCAUAAUAAGACAUAUGGUUUGGAACAGGUAGAGGGAGUUUAACGUAGUGUGUGCUCUGUUUGCCAUUAUCUGGUGUUCUAAAGUAGUGUAAUAAGCUUUGGAGAAUUACUACAACCUGGUAGGGUUUAUCAUUGGGUAGUGCAUGGGUUGAGCAGGCAUCUGAGCCCAGUGCAACAAAGCAAUUGGAUGAUUCUGGGCAGCAUCUAUGCAGCCUCCUAAAUAAAAUAAUAGCUGAUCUUGCA